GGCCGAGGAGCGCCUGCAGCAGCGCCGGGGUGCAGCGUCCCCGCUCCGCUCCGCUCCGCCCCGCCCCGCUCCGGGGCUGCGAACGGCCCGCCGCCGCGUGUGCGCGCGUGUGCGUGCAGUGCCUAGGCUGUACAAAGUCCUCAAAGCUGGAGAACAGCACACUGCAACUGCAGACUUCAUGGGAGUGGACCAGGGUCAUCUUCUCUCUCCCUCCACCCCUUUCCUGUAGGCCCAAAUAAUCGCACUCAGACCUGGAAGUAGUAUUAGUCAGGAAUUCAGAAAGAGGUGUCCGCACCUAAAAGUAGAAUGAAGUGAAUUUUCUCGUUCAGAUGUGCUGUCAGGAUGUCAUGUAUAAAUCCUAGAAUAACAAGGCACUGCCAUUCCUGAAGACUGCAGCAUGUUAUCAGCCUAUUUCAAUACCCUGAUUUAAUGUCUAAGUAAUUUUUGAUUGUGAAUGCAUGCAUCUAUACCAGUGAAAAAUAAUGGCAUAUUGAUCAUUCAGGUCAUUAUGGGGCUGCUCCAGUUUUCACUGAAGACAAUGGCAACAGUCUUCCAUUUUUAUCUUUAACAAAACUGAUACUAUGUUUAAGGCACAUCAUAGAAGGGUAUCUUCACCUUUUUAAUUCAUAUCCACACAACAAAAUCUCUUUUCUAAUCCUUUAUACCCCCUCCUAGGAGAGUGGAUAGGUUCAUUUUAAAAGAAAAUAAAAGAUUCCACACACAGCUCUUCAUUUCCAUGAUAUGUUAAUGGAUUGGGCCACAAUUAUCAUGUAGUGAUAAUGACUAAACUGUGUAAAUCUAAGUUACAGAUGCAUGUUUGUAUAAUUCCCAAUGCCUUGGAUACUGAGGCCAAGUAUCACUAGAUUUCUCCCCUCUCCCUCCCCCAAUGAGGCACUUGAAAGGGAUCAGACUUGUAGAAGGUACUCAGCACUUGCUUAAAAUAUGCCCCUGCAGGGUGUGUCAACUAAAACAUCAAGACACGCAGAUUAUAAAAGACCUUUGAAAAGUUUAGCCUGGGUGUUAGGACUCCCUAGAUUCUCAUUUCUGGUUAUACUGCUGGCUUUACCAAGCUCAUCUGGUCACUUUUGAGGACUGUUGUACCAAAGCCUAUAUAGUCUAGGUAACAAUAAUCAAACUUGGACUGUUACACAGAAGAAGUCAGCAAAGAUUUAAAACCAUCCUCACAGUUCCCAUCACUUCCACCUCCUGAGACCACAUGGCUAGGGUUCACCAUUCUGUUACUAGACUAGAAAGAGGGACACAAGAGGCAUCAGCACCACAAUUUCAUCUAAAUCCUACAUGCCACCAGGAAGAUGAGACAGGCUCCAGCUUUCAACCCCUCCUUUAUGAAUCUUUAUUAUUUUUCUUUCCCAUCCCAGGCUCUUUUUGCCUUUUUAAAAUAAAAGUCCAUAUUACUCAGUCAACACUGACUCUUGCAGCACUGCUUGGUACCUAUAAACCCAAAAGCAGCUUAAAGUAAUGCACUGAAACAACUGAAUGCUUGCCAGGGCUCAGAGAGGCUGAUAAGAUGGUGUGCUGAUCUGUUUUCCUCCAGUCUCAGACUAGUAAGUCAUAAACAGCAUCAGAAACAGAAGCUACGUUUUCUGUCUUUGCUGUUCUUCUUCUUUCCUUUGUGUGUGCAUGAGUCUUAUUUUGCCUUCAAAGAAGCAGAAUUGGGGUGUAACUGUAGCAGCAACACAAACCCAAAUAAUGUUAAUUCAAUUUUUUUCUUUCUCCAAUAAAAAGAAAAUAAUUUCCU